rnacentral:rRNA from 1 species
AGAGUUUGAUCAUGGCUCAGAACGUACGCUGGCGGCACGCCUUAUACAUGCAAGUCGAACGAAGUAGCAAUACUUAGUGGCAGACGGGUGAGUAACAUGUGGGUAUCUUCCCUUUGGCCUGGAAUAACACGAGGAAACUUGUGCUAAUACCGGAUAAGUCUUUACGGAGAAAGCUUUAUGCACCAUUGGAUGAGCCUGCACUUGAUUAGUUUGUUGGUGGGGUAAUGGCCUACCAAGACAAUGAUCAAUAGCUGAUUUGAGAGGAUGAUCAGCCACAUUGGAACUGAGACACGGUCCAAACUUCUACGGAAGGCAGCAGUAGGGAAUCUUGCACAAUGGAGGAAACUCUGAUGCAGCGAUGCCGCGUGAGUGAAGAAGGCCUUUGGGUUGUAAAGCUCUUUCGUCGGGGAAGAAAAUGACUGUACCCGAAUAAGAAGGUCCGGCUAACUUCGUGCCAGCAGCCGCGGUAAUACGAAGGGACCUAGCGUAGUUCGGAAUUACUGGGCUUAAAGAGUUCGUAGGUGGUUAAAAAAGUUGGUGGUGAAAUCCCAGAGCUUAACUCUGGAACUGCCAUCAAAACUUUUUAGCUAGAGUAUGAUAGAGGAAAGCAGAAUUUCUAGUGUAGAGGUGAAAUUCGUAGAUAUUAGAAAGAAUACCGAUUGCGAAGGCAGCUUUCUGGAUCAUUACUGACACUGAGGAACGAAAGCAUGGGUAGCGAAGAGGAUUAGAUACCCUCGUAGUCCAUGCCGUAAACGAUGUGUGUUAGACGUUGGAAAUUUAUUUUCAGUGUCGCAGCGAAAGCAAUAAACACACCGCCUGGGGAGUACGACCGCAAGGUUAAAACUCAAAUGAAUUGACGGGGACCCGCACAAGUAGUGGAGCAUGUGGUUUAAUUCGAAGAUACGCGCAGAACCUUACCAACACUUGACAUGUUCGUCGCGACUCUAAGAGAUUAGAGUUUUCGGUUCGGCCGGACGAAACACAGGUGCUGCAUGGCUGUCGUCAGCUCGUGUCGUGAGAUGUUGGGUUAAGUCCCGCAACGAGCGCAACCCUUACUUUUAGUUGCCAUCAUUUAGUUGGGCACUCUGAAAGAACUGCCAGUGAUAAGCUGGAGGAAGGUGGGGAUGACGUCAAGUCCUCAUGGCCCUUAUGUGUUGGGCUACACACGUGCUACAAUGGUAUCUACAACAGGAAGCAAAAUGGCAACAUUAAGCAAAUCCCAAAAAGAUACCUCAGUUCGGAUUGCACUCUGCAACUCGAGUGCAUGAAGCUGGAAUUACUAGUAAUCGUGGAUCAGCGUGCCACGGUGAAUACGUUCCCGGGUCUUGUACACACCGCCCGUCACACCAUGGGAGUUGGUUCUACCUUAAGGCAAAAUGUUAACCUUCGGGAAGCAUUUGACCACGGUAUAGUCAGCGACUGGGGUGAAGUCGUAACAAGGUAGCC